rnacentral:rRNA from 1 species
UGCAGUCGAACGAUGAUCCCAGCUUGCUGGGGGAUUAGUGGCGAACGGGUGAGUAACACGUGAGUAACCUGCCCUUGACUCUGGGAUAAGCCUGGGAAACUGGGUCUAAUACCGGAUAUGACUCCUCAUCGCAUGGUGGGGGGUGGAAAGCUUUUGUGGUUUUGGAUGGACUCGCGGCCUAUCAGCUUGUUGGUGGGGUAAUGGCCUACCAAGGCGACGACGGGUAGCCGGCCUGAGAGGGUGACCGGCCACACUGGGACUGAGACACGGCCCAGACUCCUACGGGAGGCAGCAGUGGGGAAUAUUGCACAAUGGGCGCAAGCCUGAUGCAGCGACGCCGCGUGAGGGAUGACGGCCUUCGGGUUGUAAACCUCUUUCAGUAGGGAAGAAGCGUAAGUGACGGUACCUGCAGAAGAAGCGCCGGCUAACUACGUGCCAGCAGCCGCGGUAAUACGUAGGGCGCAAGCGUUAUCCGGAAUUAUUGGGCGUAAAGAGCUCGUAGGCGGUUUGUCGCGUCUGCUGUGAAAGACCGGGGCUCAACUCCGGUUCUGCAGUGGGUACGGGCAGACUAGAGUGCAGUAGGGGAGACUGGAAUUCCUGGUGUAGCGGUGAAAUGCGCAGAUAUCAGGAGGAACACCGAUGGCGAAGGCAGGUCUCUGGGCUGUAACUGACGCUGAGGAGCGAAAGCAU